GGACCAUAGAUAAAUGCCAAAUGAAAAAUAAAGCAUAGAUACAAAGAACAUAUCAUAUUACAUCCUCAUAGGAUUCAGUCAAGCUGUUCUGUUAAUAAUUUGAAUUGGAAAACUUUUUUGAAUCACUUCUUGAAGCUUCCAUGCAAGCCCUCCAUGGUCUUUCACUCCUGUUUCUUUUGGACUUCCAAGCACAUAUUGUUGACUCAUUGGCACCAGUACCCUCCCCUGUCC
rnacentral:lncRNA from 1 species